CCUACGGGAGGCAGCAGUAGGGAAUUUUGCGCAAUGGGCGAAAGCCUGACGCAGCAACACCGCGUGAAUGUUAAGCCCUUCGGGGUGUAAAGUUCUGUCAAUAGGGACGAAUUUUGACUGUACCUAUAAAGGAAGCACCGGCUAACUCCGUGCCAGCAGCCGCGGUAAUACGGGGGGUGCAAGCGUUGUCCGGAUUUAUUGGGUUUAAAGGGUGCGUAGGUUGUUUUUUAAGUCAGCGGUGAAAGGUUGUGGCUCAACCAUAAAAUUGCCGUUGAAACUGGAAGACUUGAGUGUGUUUGAGGUAGGCGGAAUGCGUGGUGUAGCGGUGAAAUGCAUAGAUAUCACGCAGAACUCCGAUUGCGAAGGCAGCUUACUAAGCCAUAACUGACACUGAAGCACGAAAGCGUGGGGAUCAAACAGGAUUAGAUACCCGAGUAGUC
rnacentral:rRNA from 1 species